ACUCGAGUGGCGAACGGGUGAGUAACACGUGGGUGAUCUGCCCUGCACUUCGGGAUAAGCUUGGGAAACUGGGUCUAAUACCGGAUAGGAGCCAUCUUUAGUGUGGUGGUUGGAAAGUUUUUCGGUGUAGGAUGAGCUCGCGGCCUAUCAGCUCGUUGGUGGGGUAAUGGCCUACCAAGGCGGCGACGGGUAGCCGGCCUGAGAGGGUGUACGGCCACAUUGGGACUGAGAUACGGCCCAG
rnacentral:rRNA from 1 species